AUUGAACGCUGGCGGCAUGCUUUACACAUGCAAGUCGAACGGUAACAGGCCUUCGGGUGCUGACGAGUGGCGAACGGGUGAGUAAUGCAUCGGAACGUGCCCAGAGGUGGGGGAUAACGCAGCGAAAGCUGUGCUAAUACCGCAUGUGAUCUGAGGUUGAAAGCGGGGGACCAGGCAGCAAUGUUUGGCCUCGCGCCUUUGGAGCGGCCGAUGUCAGAUUAGGUAGUUGGUGGGGUAAAGGCCUACCAAGCCGACGAUCUGUAGCUGGUCUGAGAGGACGACCAGCCACACUGGGACUUAGACACGGCCCAGACUCCUACGGGAGGCAGCAGUGGGGAAUUUUGGACAAUGGGCGCAAGCCUGGUCCAGCAAUGCCGCGUGCGGGAAGAAGGCCUUCGGGGUGUAAACCGCUUUUGUACGGAACGAAAAGGCUCUGGCUAAUACCUGGGGCUGAUGACGGUACCGUAAGAAUAAGCACCGGCUAACUACGUG
rnacentral:rRNA from 1 species